rnacentral:rRNA from 1 species
AACGAACGCUGGCGGCAUGCCUAACACAUGCAAGUCGAACGAGACCUUCGGGUCUAGUGGCGCACGGGUGCGUAACGCGUGGGAACCUGCCCUUAGGUUCGGAAUAACUCCCCGAAAGGGGUGCUAAUACCGGAUAAUGUCUUCGGACCAAAGAUUUAUCGCCUUUGGAUGGGCCCGCGUUGGAUUAGCUAGUUGGUAGGGUAAAAGCCUACCAAGGCGACGAUCCAUAGCUGGUCUGAGAGGAUGAUCAGCCACACUGGGACUGAGACACGGCCCAGACUCCUACGGGAGGCAGCAGUGGGGAAUAUUGGAAAAUGGGCGAAAGCAUGAUCCAGCAAUGCCGCGUGAGUGAUGAAGGCCUUAGGGUUGUAAAGCUCUUUUACCCGGGAUGAUAAUGGCAGUACCGGGAGAAUAAGCUCCGGCUAACUCCGUG